GUUUGGAUGAAUUAAAAAGUUCCUGGAAUAGUGGGUUCUCUGUUCACAUUGAUAAUAAAUGAAUUAAAAACAGUUUAAUUUAUACAUUUUGAAGAUUCCUAGCAACUUCUUAGAUCAUGUUUGGUGGAAGGCAAUAAAACAAAAUAUUAAUCGAAGUACUAUAAAUAUAUCACUGUUUACCGAACCAGCACUUAGUAAAUCUUUAAGCUCCCGUGUAGUUUCUUAUGUAGACUGCGUUGUGGUAGAUUGAUAAUUCUUUUCAGGCUGUCGAUAGUUCCCUUUUAUCAACGCUGGCAGAAAUGUUGUGUUUGCCUUUCAGUUGAAUGAGGGCUGCACUGCUUGUUGAGUGAGCCACAUAGUUGGGUCUUGCUUUCUAUAUUAAAAUUCUUUCGCUUACUAUGGAUGCCGACGGUGUGAUAUCUGUCCUGACUAAUUUUGUUGGUAUCCAAGUGGGGCUGUUGAACUGCUUCUAGUUUAUGGUUGUGAUCUUCAUGUGGGUGUUUAUGUUUCCAUGGUCACAUCUGUUUGGACACAACCAAUGAUUCAAUAGAGAGAAUAAUCACUGCUUAAAGUAUUCUGAUAGAGUAAAGAAUCUAGAGAGGCUGAUUUUAUGAGUUGAUUAUAGAAAUGGAAAAGAGCAAAUCUCAAUGCUAUUACUGCAGAAAAAUAAGGAAGUCACCAGUGUUAUAGCCGCUCAAAACACUAGUCAGUACUCAUAAACAGAAUAAUUCCAAUACAAGAUAAUUACUAGACAAAUACCCUUCCACAGCUAUGCUGCUGCUAACAAUUCUGAAUACAAACUGCCAUGCCUUCUUCAUUCCUUGCUCUCUGUUAUUAUAGGAUCUGCCUCCCUGUAUUUGAGAGAUUUCCCUGCCUAUGUGUUGCUGCUUGGUUCUUCCAGAAUAUUACGUUCCACUUGUUUUCCCUGGGCUUUUCUCCAGUACCCUGAUCCAUUUUCCCAUAUAUUCCACCUUAAUUGAUAGUUUUGCAUUCAACAAUAUAAGAUUCUUACUCUCUUUGUUGUUCCGGUCAUCUUAUCUAGUCAACUCAAGUGGUGGUCAAUUUUCCCGUUUUGAUUUCUAUCUAUUUGCAUCAAAUUAAUGUUGCCUUAUAUAAUUAGUUUGUUUUCCAUUUUCAUAUUUUCUGUUAUGCCCUCUUACAUAUUUUGGUUCUUGGUCAUUUUGGGUCGCCACAUUUAUAGUUCACUGGGGCUUGCCUUAAAGGUAUUUUUGUAGCUUCAUCGUUUGCUAUCAUGCUGUUGGAAUUGAUUUCACAUAUUGCAUAUUAGGACUUUUCCAAAGCAAGACAGAUUGUGAUAUGCCUAGAAACUAUUAUGAAGUCCUAAUAAAUGACGGAUGCGGGGGUGCUUUUUGAUGAAUUGUCUGUUGAUCCAUGCAUUCUAAAAUCAGCAUCAACUCUAAAUCCAUUUUUUCAUGUGUCUGCUGCAAUGGAGGAAAUAUGUUUAGGCCAGAAUUUCUCAAUUUCAUUUGAAGAGCCUCAAAACACCUGCAAGUUGCAAAUGGCUCAUCUCUCUUUUCUUAAUAGCUAUGCUAUGCACCCUCCUAUUCCUAGAGCCUGUGCUUCAUAUUGCCUUUCCUUCGGUUUGAGUUUUGCCUAGCAUUAGUCUCUUAGUUUUAUGUUGUUUUUUCUCCAUGUCUUAAUAACAAUAACAACCCUUAAUUCUCAUAUCCUUCAGUUUAUCUGAUUGAGAAAUGGCAAUGCGGAUUUAUAUACUGCAGCUACGCAGCAACAUGGAGUGG
rnacentral:misc_RNA from 1 species